GAUGAACGCUGGCGGCGUGCCUAAUACAUGCAAGUCGAGCGAACAGAUAAGGAGCUUGCUCCUUUGACGUUAGCGGCGGACGGGUGAGUAACACGUGGGUAACCUACCUAUAAGACUGGAAUAACUCCGGGAAACCGGGGCUAAUGCCGGAUAACAUUUAGAACCGCAUGGUUCUACAGUGAAAGAUGGUUUUGCUAUCACUUAUAGAUGGACCCGCGCCGUAUUAGCUAGUUGGUAAGGUAACGGCUUACCAAGGCAACGAUACGUAGCCGACCUGAGAGGGUGAUCGGCCACACUGGAACUGAGACACGGUCCAGACUCCUACGGGAGGCAGCAGUAGGGAAUCUUCCGCAAUGGGCGAAAGCCUGACGGAGCAACGCCGCGUGAGUGAUGAAGGUCUUCGGAUCGUAAAACUCUGUUAUUAGGGAAGAACAAAUGUGUAAGUAACUGUGCACGUCUUGACGGUACCUAAUCAGAAAGCCACGGCUAACUACGUG
rnacentral:rRNA from 1 species